UGGUGGAGUGAUUUGUCUGGUUAAUUCCGUUAACGAACGAGACCUCCGCCUGCUAAUUAGUUGCGCGAAUGCUUUGCAUUGGCGUUUGCAACUUCUUAGAGGGACUUUUGGUGACUAACCAAAGGAAGUUGGAGGCAAUAACA
rnacentral:rRNA from 1 species